AGCCCGCCUCGCACUUUACCUGGGCCUGACACGUGACCGCGACGCCACGUGACUCGGGCCUCGCCUCCGACCCCCGCCCGGUCUCCGGCCGGCGGAAGCGGAAGGCGGGAGGUGGGCGCGGCUUGUCACCUCCUUGCGGGGCCUCUGGGUCCGUCCUGGAGCUGCCAGGCUCUGCCCGGUUCUUCCCUUUUCUCGAUUGCUGCCCGCGCUCUGGCCACACCGGCCCUUUGCAGAGAGAGGUGACGCCCGCCUGCCCUGCUGCUUCGUUGAGCACUUCCAACCCCACCUCCUGGGGAAACGUGCCUCCAGUUCACCUUCGGUGCAGCUGGAGCAGGCCUGUAAGGAAGAAUUUUCCAUCGUGGACCAGUUGGUUACUCCAAAAUACCAUCCCUACAGGAAAGGUGGGAUCCGUGCCUGACUCGUGAUUCUUUUGUCUGGCUUCAGAGUAAGAACUCAGUGCUGAAGCAGCUUCCAAAGGUGAACUGCCGCGCCCGGCGUGAACCGUGCGCUCUGGGGGGUGAUGACCUGUCGGUGCGGGUUCCUCAGCGGUGACCGAUGCCCCACCUGGUGUGGACACUGAUGGUGGGGGAGGCCAUGCGUGGCAGGGAGGUGGCAGAGGGGGUAUGGGAACUCUGUACUUUCAAUUUUGCUAUGAACCUGCAACUGCUCUAAAAAAUACAGUUUAUUAAUUAAAAAACAAAGUGAACCAUCACAUUUUAAAAAAUGUGAUGUUAAAGUGCUAUGUUACCGUGGAUUUCUGUAUAGGUGAUAUGUCUUCAGUCUUUUGUAGUUAUUAUCAUUUUCAGGUUAAAAUCAUGUGGUCUUGGUAGUGCAGCCUUCUAGAUGGAAGUAACUGUGACAUUUCUCUCCACGUGGGCUGCCGCUGUUGCUGUCCCACCAGCGAUGCAUCAGCAGAGAGCCCGUGUGCCCACAGCCUGACCCUGACCUGUAAGAAAUUAGGUCCCUGUAGUUUCCAUUUGCAUUUUCCUUGUGAGUGGGGCACCUGGCUUUUUUGCCAUCUUUCUAUCAGAUUAUAGAGAUAUUUGCAAUACAAGUCACACUUUUAAAGUCAGUGUAUCAUUUUUAGAAUCAUUUUGGUAUUUUAGUUUGCUUAUGGCAUGUUUUUGUUUGCAGAAGUUCUUUUGUUUAAACGUGGGUGAAUUGAUCACUUUUCCACAGCAUUUGGGUUUUAAGUCCUUCCUAGUCCUAGGUUAGAAGACUCUGUCUGUUUUCUGCCAGUGCGUGUGUAGUUUCAUUUCUGCAUUUGUAUCUCUGAUGCAGGAUGCCGACGGGCAGGGCAGAGAAGGGGUCCGUGUCACCCUUCCCACGCAGGUCUCUAGGUGUCCUCCUUCCACUUACCGAAAGCUCACCUUUUGCCCACUGAUUGGAGAUUCCACCCUCCUGUGCUGACGUGCGAACGUACUUGACUUGACUUGAUGAUUUUUGGAGCUGCCCCAGCACCACUCUUUUGAAGUUAUAGAUGCUGUAUCUGCAGGGCCAGCUCCCUCACUUUUCUCCUUCAGGGUUUUUCUAACUAUUGUUGUCUAUUUUGCCAUAUGAUCUUUUGCAAUCAAGUUGUCUUUAAAAAUAAAAUUAACGUUCACCCAAGAGAAAUUCUGACUUAGGUUGGCAGUGUUUACAGCGGCCGUAGCCAUCAUUGCCCCAGGCUGCACGCAGGCAGUGGCGGGGGAUCCUCUGGGCACUUGGGAAGUGCAGGACAUUCUGGAA